GUGGGGAAUAUUGCGCAAUGGGGGAAACCCUGACGCAGCAAUACCGCGUGAGUGAAGAAGGUUUUCGGAUCGUAAAACUCUUUUAUUGGGGAAGAAGAAGUGACGGUACCCAAUGAAGAAGUCCCGGCUAACUACGUGCCAGCAGCCGCGGUAAUACGUAGGGGACAAGCGUUGUCCGGAAUCACUGGGCGUAAAGGGCGCGUAGGCGGUUUUAUAAGUCAGAUGUGAAAGGUACCGGCUCAACCGGUGACGUGCAUUUGAAACUGUAAGACUUGAGUACUGGAGAGUCAAGUGGAAUGCCUAGUGUAGCGGUGAAAUGCGUAGAUAUUAGGAGGAACACCGGUGGCGAAGGCGGCUUGCUGGACAGAUACUGACGCUGAGGUGCGAAAGCGUGGGGAGCGAACAGGAUUAGAAACCCGUGUAGUCC
rnacentral:rRNA from 1 species